rnacentral:rRNA from 1 species
CCUACUGGGGGCUGCAGUGGGGAAUAUUGAACAAUGGGGGCAACCCUGAUCCAGCCAUGCCGCGUGUGUGAAGAAGGCCCUCGGGUUGUAAAGCACUUUCAGUGAGGAAGAACGCCUGGUGGUUAAUACCCAUCAGGAAAGACAUCACUCACAGAAGAAGCACCGGCUAACUCCGUGCCAGCAGCCGCGGUAAUACGGAGGGUGCGAGCGUUAAUCGGAAUUACUGGGCGUAAAGCGCGCGUAGGUGGCUUGAUAAGCCGGUUGUGAAAGCCCCGGGCUCAACCUGGGAACGGCAUCCGGAACUGUCAAGCUAGAGUGCAGGAGAGGAAGGUAGAAUUCCCGGUGUAGCGGUGAAAUGCGUAGAGAUCGGGAGGAAUACCAGUGGCGAAGGCGGCCUUCUGGACUGACACUGACACUGAGGUGCGAAAGCGUGGGUAGCAAACAGGAUUAGAUACCCCAGUAGUC